GGAAGGGUGGCAGAGUGGUCGAAUGCGGCGGUCUUGAAAACCGCUGGGCCAGUGAUGGUCCCGGGGGUUCGAAUCCCUCCCCUUCCGCCA
rnacentral:tRNA from 1 species